GACGAACCGUGCGAACGUUGUUCGGAAUCACUGGGCUUAAAGGGCGCGUAGGCGGCUCAUCAAGUCCGGGGUGAAAGCCCCCAGCUCAACUGGGGAAGUGCCUUGGAAACUGGUGAGCUCGAGGGAGGUAGGGGUCGAGGGAACUUCUGGUGGAGCGGUGAAAUGCGUUGAUAUCAGAAGGAACGCCGGUGGCGAAAGCGCUCGACUGGACCUCUUCUGACGCUGAGGCGCGAAAGCUAGGGGAGCAAACGGG
rnacentral:rRNA from 1 species